rnacentral:rRNA from 1 species
CGCUGGCGGCAGGCCUAACACAUGCACGUCGAGCGCGCCCUUCGGGGUGAGCGGCGGACGGGUGAGUAACGCGUGGGAACGUGCCCUUUUCUACGGAAUAGCCUCGGGAAACUGAGAGUAAUACCGUAUACGCCCUUUGGGGGAAAGAUUUAUCGGAAAAGGAUCGGCCCGCGUUGGAUUAGGUAGUUGGUGGGGUAAUGGCCUACCAAGCCGACGAUCCAUAGCUGGUUUGAGAGGAUGAUCAGCCACACUGGGACUGAGACACGGCCCAGACUCCUACGGGAGGCAGCAGUGGGGAAUCUUAGACAAUGGGGGCAACCCUGAUCUAGCCAUGCCGCGUGAGUGAUGAAGGCCUUAGGGUUGUAAAGCUCUUUCAGCUGGGAAGAUAAUGACGGUACCAGCAGAAGAAGCCCCGGCUAACUCCGUG